UACGUAGGGUGCGAGCGUUAAUCGGAAUUACUGGGCGUAAAGCGUGCGCAGGCGGUUCGUUAUGUCCGAUGUGAAAGCCCCGAGCUCAACUUGGGAAUGGCAUUGGAAAUUGGCGGGCUGGAGUGUGGCAGAGGGGGGAGGAAUUCCACGUGUAGCAGUGAAAUGCGUAGAGAUCAUGAGGAAGACCAGUGGCGAAGGCGGGUCUCUGGACAGUUCCUGACACUGAGGCACGAAGGCCAGGGGAGCAAACGGG
rnacentral:rRNA from 1 species